UUCCCUGACCGGGAAUCGAACCCGGGCCGCAGCGGUGAAAGCGCCGAAUCCUAGCCACUAGACCACCAGGGA
rnacentral:tRNA from 1 species